rnacentral:rRNA from 1 species
UGGGGAAUCUUCCGCAAUGGACGAAAGUCUGAUGGAGCAACGCCGCGUGAGUGAUGACGGCCUUCGGGUUGUAAAGCUCUGUUAAUCGGGACGAAUGGUUCUUGUACAAAUAGUGCGAGGAUUUGACGGUACCGGAAUAGAAAGCCACGGCUAACUACGUGCCAGCAGCCGCGGUAAUACGUAGGUGGCAAGCGUUGUCCGGAAUUAUUGGGCGUAAAGCGCGCGCAGGCGGAUUGGUCAGUCUGUCUUAAAAGUUCGGGGCUUAACCCCGUGAUGGGAUGGAAACUGCCAAUCUAGAGUAUCGGAGAGGAAAGUGGAAUUCCUAGUGUAGCGGUGAAAUGCGUAGAUAUUAGGAAGAACACCAGUGGCGAAGGCGACUUUCUGGACGAAAACUGACGCUGAGGCGCGAAAGCCAGGGGAGCGAACGGGAUUAGAUACCCCGGUAGUCCUGGCCGUAAACGAUGGGUACUAGGUGUAGGAGGUAUCGACCCCUUCUGUGCCGGAGUUAACGCAAUAAGUACCCCGCCUGGGGAGUACGACCGCAAGGUUG